rnacentral:rRNA from 1 species
GACGAACGCUGGCGGCGUGCCUAAUACAUGCAAGUAGAACGCUGAAGGAGGAGCUUGCUUCUCCGGAUGAGUUGCGAACGGGUGAGUAACGCGUAGGUAACCUGCCUGGUAGCGGGGGAUAACUAUUGGAAACGAUAGCUACUACCGCAUAACAGUAGAUGUUGCAUGACAUUUGCUUAAAAGUUGCAAUUGCAUCACUACCAGAUGGACCUGCGUUGUAUUAGCUAGUUGGUGAGGUAACGGCUCACCAAGGCGACGAUACAUAGCCGGCCUGAGAAGGGGAACGGCCACACUGGGACUGAGACACGGCUCAGAAUCCUACGGGAGGCAGCAGUAGGGGAUCAUCGGAAAUUGACGGAAGGCUGAACGAGCAACGCCGCGGUAGUGAAGGAGGUUCUCGGAUUGGAAAGCUCCGUUGGAAGAGAAGGACGAGUGGGAGAGUGGAAAGUUCACACUGUGACGGUAUCUAACCAGAAAGGGACGGCUAACUACGUG